UUUAAAGAGAGUUUGAUCCUGGCUCAGGACGAACGCUGGCGGCGUGCCUAAUACAUGCAAGUCGAACGAACGGAGGAAGAGCUUGCUCUUCCAAAGUUAGUGGCGGACGGGUGAGUAACACGUGGGCAACCUGCCUGUAA
rnacentral:rRNA from 1 species